GAGCCUAUUGAUCAAUGGUAGAGCGUUCGACUCAAAUAUCGAAUGUCUUGGGUUCGAAUCCCAGGUGUUUCA
rnacentral:tRNA from 1 species